rnacentral:tRNA from 1 species
AAGUUAAUUAGCUUAAUUAAAAGCGUGUAUUUUGAAAAUACAAGAUAGAAAAUUAUUUAUUAACUUA